UCAAGAAGUAGUUUAAGUAGAAUAUCAGCUUUGGGUGUUGAUGGUGGGGAAAAGAUUCCUUCUUCUUGAU
rnacentral:tRNA from 1 species